rnacentral:rRNA from 1 species
GGCUCAGGAUGAACGCUGGCGGCGUGCCUAAUACAUGCAAGUCGAACGAGGUGCUUUUGUAGCAAUACGGAAGUAUCCUAGUGGCGAACGGGUGAGUAACGCGUUGAUGACCUACCCCAAAGUGUGGGAUAACAGUCCGAAAGGAUUGCUAAUACCGCAUGUGGUUAUUGGAUUUAGAAACUGAUAACUAAAGGAGCAAUUCGCUUUGGGAGGGAUCUGCGUCCCAUCAGCUAGUUGGUGAGGUAACGGCCCACCAAGGCUACGACGGGUAGGGGACCUGAGAGGGUGGCCCCCCACAAUGGAACUGAAACACGGUCCAUACACCUACGGGUGGCAGCAGUAGGGAAUAUUGCACAAUGGGCGAAAGCCUGAUGCAGCAACGCCGCGUGUGCGAAGAAGGCCUUCGGGUCGUAAAGCACUUUUAUGAGAGAUGAGUAAGGACAGUAUCUCAGGAAUAAGUCUCGGCUAACUACGUGCCAGCAGCCGCGGUAAAACGUAGGAGGCAAGCGUUAUCCGGAUUCACUGGGCGUAAAGCGCGUGCAGGCGGUUCGGUAAGUUGGGCGUGAAAUCUCCCGGCUCAACUGGGAGAGGUCGUUCAAUACUACCGGGCUUGAGAGCAGAAGAGGAAAGUGGAAUUCCCGGUGUAGUGGUGAAAUGCGUAGAUAUCGGGAGGAACACCAGUGGCGAAGGCGACUUUCUGGUCUGUUUCUGACGCUCAGACGCGACAGCUAGGGUAGUAAACGGGAUUAGAGACCCCGGUAAUCCUAGCCGUAAACGAUGUAAACUUGGCGUCGGUGGCUUAAACUCCAUCGGUGCCGCAGCAAACGCGAUAAGUUUACCGCCUGGGGACUACGAUC